rnacentral:rRNA from 1 species
UACGAAGGGGGCUAGCGUUGCUCGGAAUCACUGGGCGUAAAGGGUGCGUAGGCGGGUCUUUAAGUCAGGGGUGAAAUCCUGGAGCUCAACUCCAGAACUGCCUUUGAUACUGAGGAUCUUGAGUUCGGGAGAGGUGAGUGGAACUGCGAGUGUAGAGGUGAAAUUCGUAGAUAUUCGCAAGAACACCAGUGGCGAAGGCGGCUCACUGGACCGGAACUGACGCUGAGGCGCGAAAGCGUGGGGAGCAAACAGG